GAUCCUGGCUCAGGAUGAACGCUAGCUACAGGCUUAACACAUGCAAGUCGAGGGGCAGCAUGGUCUUAGCUUGCUAAGGCCGAUGGCGACCGGCGCACGGGUGAGUAACACGUAUCCAACCUGCCGUCUACUCUUGGACAGCCUUCUGAAAGGAAGAUUAAUACAAGAUGGCAUCAUGAGUCCGCAUGUUCACAUGNUAAGGUAUUCCGGUAGUACGAUGGGGUA
rnacentral:rRNA from 1 species